UACCUAGGUCCCGAGCGUUGUCCGGAUUUAUUGGGCGUAAAGCGAGCGCAGGUGGUUUAUUAAGUCUGGUGUAAAAGGCAGUGGCUCAACCAUUGUAUGCAUUGGAAACUGGUAGACUUGAGUGCAGGAGAGGAGAGUGGAAUUCCAUGUGUAGCGGUGAAAUGCGUAGAUAUAUGGAGGAACACCGGUGGCGAAAGCGGCUCUCUGGCCUGUAACUGACACUGAGGCUCGAAAGCGUGGGGAGCAAACAGG
rnacentral:rRNA from 1 species